AUGGAGGAUUCCAUUAUUUGGAAGUUCACCAAGGACGGUAUGUAUUCUUCCUGCUCGGCUUAUAAGGCGCAAUUCGAGGGCCUUACUACGUCGGACAUGGUCCAUUCGGUGUGGAAGGUGUGGGCUCCUUCGAGGUGCAAAUUUUUCGCUUGGUCAAAAUAG
rnacentral:rRNA from 1 species